CUAGCGGCAGGCCUUAUACAUGCAAGUCGAGGGGCAGCAUAGAUUGCUUGCAAUCUGAUGGCGACCGGCGAACGGGUGCGUAACGCGUAUGCAACUUACCUUUUACUAGGAGAUAGCCAAGAGAAAUUUUGAUUAAUAUCCUAUACAAUUAUUUUUUCGCAUGAAUUGAUAAUAAAAGCUCAGGCGGUAAAAGAUGGGCAUGCGUCCUAUUAGCUAGUAGGUGAGGUAAAGGCUCACCUAAGCAACGAUAGGUAGGGGUCCUGAGAGGGAGAUCCCCCACACUGGUACUGAGACACGGACCAGACUUCUACGGAAGGCAGCAGUAAGGAAUAUUGGACAAUGGAGGCAACUCUGAUCCAGCCAUGCCGCGUGCAGGAAGACGGCCUUAUGGGUUGUAAACUGCUUUUAUACAGGAAGAAACCUGCUCACGUGUGAGCAGCUGACGGUACUGUAAGAAUAAGGAUCGGCUAACUCCGUGCCAGCAGCCGCGGUAAUACGGAGGAUCCAAGCGUUAUCCGGAAUUAUUGGGUUUAAAGGGUCCGCAGGCUGUUUGUUAAGUCAGAGGUGAAAUCCUACCGCUCAACGGUAGAACUGCCUUUGAUACUGACAAACUUGAGUUAUUGUGAAGUAAUUAGAAUGUGUAGUGUAGCGGUGAAAUGCAUAGAUAUUACACAGAAUACCGAUUGCGAAAGCAGAUUACUAACAAUAUACUGACGCUGAGGGACGAAAGCGUAGGUAGCGAACAGGAUUAGAUACCCUGGUAGUCUACGCCGUAAACGAUGGUCACUAGCUGUUCGAUAUACAUUGGUAUGUUGAGUGGCUAAGCGAAAGUGAUAAGUGACCCACCUGGGGAGUACGCU
rnacentral:rRNA from 1 species